rnacentral:rRNA from 1 species
GACGAACGCUGGCGGCGUGCUUAACACAUGCAAGUCGAACGGAAAGGCCCUGCUUUUGUGGGGUGCUCGAGUGGCGAACGGGUGAGUAACACGUGAGUAACCUGCCCUUGACUUUGGGAUAACUUCAGGAAACUGGGGCUAAUACCGGAUAGGAGCUCCUGCUGCAUGGUGGGGGUUGGAAAGUUUCGGCGGUUGGGGAUGGACUAGCGGCUUAUCAGCUUGUUGGUGGGGUAGUGGCUUACCAAGGCUUUGACGGGUAGCAGGCCUGAGAGGGUGACCGGCCACAUUGGGACUGAGAUACGGCCCAGACUCCUACGGGAGGCAGCAGUGGGGAAUAUUGCACAAUGGGCGGAAGCCUGAUGCAGCAACGCCGCGUGCGGGAUGACGGCCUUCGGGUUGUAAACCGCUUUCGCCGGUGACGAAGCGUGAGUGACGGUAAUUGGUAAAGAAGCACCGGCUAACUACGUG